AAGGAAUCUUGUCGGAUAGGAGGCAUUAGUUUUGGAAGGACCCUCGUAGAUGGCGGACCAGGGCCUGGCGUUCUAGCCCGGAGUGGGAAAGAGGCGAGGCACACACCUUGGCGAGGAGACAGCGUGUAUUGGGUAUGCUGGUGGAAGGAAGUCUGCACCCUUUCAGACGAUCGGGUGUAAAUACAACUCGUGGAAAGACUGAACACGCUGUUGGAGUGAUCUGGCGGUCGUGGUGUUCCCUUGCCAGGAGGAGGGAAAACAGGCUGACGACCACAGUUGUGUAAUUCACCAGAGGAGACUAGAACCACCCUGUGGAGGUGAAUGUGAGCUGUCUCCCUCUGGUGAAUCAUAAACUGGCGCUCCCUCUGUUUGGGUGGGACCACAGGAAUAUAAACCGACCCAUUAGUAAACUGGCCAUCAAUAUCCACUCAUAUUUAGUGUUUCACUAUUGGCUUCCAUAAUGGAUAACAAAGUAGACUUCCCUGUCCAGAAAAAAAAAAAAAACAGUAAUGGCGUACAAGCUUAGCUUAUUAGAUUAUAUAAUUGCCUUAUUGAGCUUGCCUAAAUCUUCCUUUUUCUUUCAGUACCUUCAAUAGGCUAGUACAAGAAAAGCCAGUUUUAUUUUACAAGUGCACGGGGAUAAGCCACCUCUAUUUUGCCUUUACAGAUUGUUACAUCUCAUGGUUGUGAGUAUUUUCAACCCUAGACACACCAUGUCCAUAAAUGAAUAUCAACAUUGCAAAUUAUUCUUGAAAUCAAUGAGACCCAUUAGUUUGGUUAGGUUAAGUUACGGAUCUUAAGUUAUGCUCAGUUAGUUUAGGUUAAUGUUAGGUUACAUAAUGUUGCAAGGUUGAAUUUAUUGAUUUUCAACAGAAAUAUUGGUUGGAAUUGUUGAAAAUAUCAAACUGUACGAAAUACCUUGUUUUAUCUGAAAAG